GACGAACGCUGGCGGCGUGCCUAACACAUGCAAGUCGAGCGGAGGCAUCCGAGUAGUUUACUACAUGGGUGUUCUUAGCGGCGGACGGGUGAGUAACGCGUGAGCAACCUGUCCUUCACAGGGGGAUAACGCAGCGAAAGUUGUGCUAAUACCGCAUAAGACCACGGUACUGACAUGGUACUGAGGUAAAAGGAGUAAUCCGGUGAGGGGUGGGCUCGCGUCUGAUUAGCUAGUUGGUGGGGUAACGGCCCACCAAGGCAACGAUCAGUAGCCGACCUGAGAGGGUGAUCGGCCACACUGGAACUGAGACACGGUCCAGACUCCUACGGGAGGCAGCAGUGGGGAAUAUUGGGCAAUGGGGGAAACCCUGACCCAGCAACGCCGCGUGAAGGAAGAAGGUUUUCGGAUCGUAAACUUCUAUCCCGGGUGAAGAUAAUGACGGUAGCCCGGAAGGAAGCCCCGGCUAACUACGUGCCAGCCGCCGCAGUAAAAC
rnacentral:rRNA from 1 species